rnacentral:rRNA from 1 species
UACGUAGGUGGCAAGCGUUGUUCGGAAUUAUUGGGCGUAAAGGGCGCGUAGGCGGUCUUGUAAGUCAGCUGUGAAAGCCCGGGGCUCAACCCCGGAGGGUCGGCUGAUACUGCAGGACUGGAGUACUGUAGGGGCAGGCGGAAUUCCGGGUGUAGCGGUGGAAUGCGUAGAGAUCCGGAGGAAGACCGGUGGCGAAGGCGGCCUGCUGGGCAGUUACUGACACUGAUGCGCGACAGCGUGGGGAGCAAACAGG